CGUCUCAGUUCGGAUUGCAGGCUGCAACCCGCCUGCAUGAAGCCGGAAUCGCUAGUAAUCGCGGAUCAGAAUGCCGCGGUGAAUACGUUCCCGGGUCUUGCACACACCGCCCGUCACACCAUGGGAGUCGAUAACGCCCGAAGUCAGUGACCCAACCGAGAGGAGGGAGCUGCCGAAGGCGGGAUUGAUAACUGGGGUGAAGUCGUAACAAGGUAAC
rnacentral:rRNA from 1 species